UACACCACAUUUCCGGCUGCAUACACACUCCCCGGACUCACACUUUCAGAAUUUGGGAAACGACAGCAUUCGAGUGUCCACAGAUAAAACCUCUCUUUCGCCAUCACUCUCAUUCCCAUUUUAUCAGUCCCUUUUCCGCGCUCAACACUAACAAAAGCUCAAAAUUUGGUAUUGGAUGUUUAAGCCUUUCAGGCCCUGCAAAGCCCCCAUAGGCAGUCAGGAAUAGAGCUUCUACAGAUUGGUUUCUGAAUAUUUUCUUAUUCUCUAAAUUGGGUUUUUGACGAAUAUUUCUUCUUGCUUGCCUGUGUUCUGUGGAGAAGUAGAAGAAAAUGAUGAACUUCAAGGAGUUUUGGACCAAGAAGACGUUGAUAGGUCUUGGGCUGGGACAGCUUCUCUCGUUUUUGAUCACUUCCACUGGCUUCACGUCUUCUGAACUCGCCAAAAAAGGAAUUAAUGCCCAACUUCACAGUCUUUUCUAAAUUAUGUGUUCUUGGCAAUUAUAUAUGGAAGUAUUGUGCUUUACCGGAAGAAAGCACUCAAGGCAAAAUGGUAUUACUACAUACCUCUUGGAUUGGUAGAUGUAGAGGCCAAUUUUCUUGGUGAGAAUAACUAAUAUAGUUUCUCUUUACUGGGUGUGUUUAGCCUGAUCAGUUGUAUGCAUGUGUACUGCUCUUUUUUUUUAUUUGUUAUUUUUUCGUGUGGGAUUUAAAUUAUAAUAUUUGUUCAAUCUGAAUGAUGUUAUUUGUGACCUGAGAAACUGCAUUUAUCUAGUUCAAAUAAACAGAAUGUCAUUUCUUUCUCUGUAAAGCUCGCCAUCUUCUUUUUGGUUUGAUA